rnacentral:rRNA from 1 species
UACGUAGGGGGCAAGCGUUGUCCGGAUUUAUUGGGCGUAAAGAGCGUGUAGGCGGCCAGACAAGUCUGCUGUGAAAACUCGAGGCUCAACCUCGAGACGUCGAUGGAAACCAUCUAGCUAGAGUCCGGAAGAGGAGAGUGGAAUUCCUGGUGUAGCGGUGAAAUGCGCAGAUAUCAGGAAGAACACCCGUGGCGAAGGCAGGUCUCUGGGCCACUACUGACGCUGAGAAGCGAAAGCAUGGGGAGCGAACAGG